rnacentral:rRNA from 1 species
CCAGCAACUCGGAGGAAUGUAUAGCGUUAGCUAAAUGCAUCGAAAAUAUGAUGCAAGAUCGAUCURUYGAAUAAAAUUCUAGAUAGAAUUAUGAUAAUGACAUUAUCUAUCUAUGUGUCUUGACCAAAUUACGUGCCAGCAGUCGCGGUAAUACGUAAAAGACUAGUGUUAUUCAUCUUUAAUAGGUUUAAAGGGUACUUAGACGGUAAAUCAAGCCCWASASGGKACUAAUWURCUAGAGUUWSWUAURAGGRRGUUUUAAAGUACUGUUGGUGUAGAGAUGAAAUUCUGUCAUACCAUUUUUCGGMASAGGUUUAAUGGCACAGGUAUAGGCGAAAGCAUCCCCUUAUGUGAUAACUGACGUUGAAGGACGAAGGCUUUGAAUAGCGAACAGGAUUAGAUACCCUGGUAGUCAAAGCAGAAAAUAAUGAGUGUCAUAGAUUAGAUAUUAAAGUUUAUUCUAUAAAUGAAAGUGUAAGCACUCCACCUCAAGAGUAAUUUGGCAACAUUGGAACUGAAAUCAUUAGACCGUUUCUGAAACCAGUAGUGAAGUAUGUUGUUUAAUUUGAUAACCCGCAAAAAACCUUACCACAAUUUGAAUAUUUAUAUCCUUGAUAUAAUUACAAGCGUUGCACGGCUGUCUUCAGUUAAUGUCGUGAGAUUUUGGUUAGAUCCAUUAAAUUAACGCAAGCCCUUACUUUAUUUUAAAAUAAAGUCGUUCCCCACUAGAUUGGAUAAGAUAACAGGGAUUAAGACAAGUCAUCAUGGCCUGAAUAUUGUGGGCUAUAGACGUGCCACAUAAACCUUUACAAAAGGAUGUGAAAUUGUGAAAUU